UGUAUAAUGCUAAUUUGGUAUUGUACCAAGCCAAACACACCACACUGGCAUGAAUUUCAGCUAACCAAAACUAAUAUUAUCUCACUUGCAUCCUCAGUCUGUUUAUUAACACCUCUUUGCACUUACAAUGCUGUGAGUACAGAAACUUAAUCACAAACCCUAGAAGUAACUGAUUAACAUGUUACUGCUGAUCAGCUAAAUUGCAGUAUCUGACAAGAUACCUGUUCCUAUAAUACAUCACAAAAUAAAAUGUGUUCUGCUUUGUACUGGCACUGUACUGAGAUAUGGAUUAAAUGAAAGCCAUAGACGUGGUCUUUUUUUUUCCCCCCUGAAGAAAAUCCACAGAAAUCACCUGGCCCCAUGCUGGCAAGCUUGCAGAAUUCAAAAAGCUGUAACUUAGCAGCCUUAGACUGGAAAGAAGCAUAAUCAACAAGGAAGUAAAAUUUACUGUCUGUGUUCUUAUUCAAAGCAAUGCCUUGAAGCAGAAGGAUUUUGAACAGUUCUCUGUGCUCAGUGCACAUCCACAACCAGGGUGUGACCUGGAGACAGAAGGCCAGGGAAUGAGCUACUGGAAGCCUGAUUUCAGAACUCGUUGGCUGGUUCAGCAUAAAAGUACAACCCUGAGGGCUUCAAGGAACAUUUACAAAAAGCAGCAAUUACAGAGGAGAAGAUGCACAUUGGAUGGGCAAUGCAGGAGCCAUGACAUGAGAAAUCCUCCAUUAUUCAGAUCUACCAAAUCACCGCUGCCUUCCACUGGCAAACUAAAAAAAGUAGCUUCAACAUCCCAGAAAAUCACAGUUUCUAUCAAAGUUAGAUCAUAAUUCAAGCACUGUGAAAGAGCAAGGAAAAAGAAAUACCAAAGAUUUAGAACAGCAAUGCUAAAUAGAGCAAGAAGAAUGCCAGUACACAUGUAUCUGUUUUAAGUUACAGACAGCAUCAAUUAGGUUUCUUCCUUAAAGCCUCCUGAAACGAGCAAACUCUCCUUAUAAUAUUUAAAUCAUGCAGUAUUUCUUAAGAAGCCAAACACAGGAAAAUGAGAAUGCACCAAUUCACUACUAAUUUUGCGUUUUUACUGCAUUCACUGCACAUUUCCUUCCUCUUGAAUUGACUUAUCCCUAUUUAUCAGGAUAUUGAUUUUUAUAUAAGAAUGUUAGAAGAAUUUUCAUGCAUUUUUUUGGUGGAAAAAUAAAAGACAGUACAGUAAAAAGACACAAAAAUUCCCCUCCAAAAAGUGUAAUACAUAUCUAAAUAUAAUACUCAUAUCAUCCACCUAACUAAUGUGCAAGAAUCAUAUAUUGCAAUUCUUUGCCAAUCCUUCUAAGUAGUUAAUAUUACACAUAGACAUACUAUGGAGAAUAGAUAACCAAAGAGCUCCACAUCCAACAACCAGAUUAGAAAUUAAACAAACAAAAGAAAAAUCGUUGUUCCUUUGGAUUAAAAUUUUAGAUUAUUUAUCAUUCUAGGUUGAGACUCCACAAGUGUUUCCAGUAGACAAAUAUCUCAGAGUUUGUGAUCAACCAAUACUUUAGCAGAAUCCCAUGCUUUUCAGGUAUGGUGUUCAGGGAACAGAAAACUAGGUUGCUUGAUUUUGCUUUUUUAGAUAUGUACGGCUAUCAAGAACAGAAAAAUUGCAACAUAUCCUUUCUGAAUUUUCAUUUUGAAUCAAAGGGAAAAAAACCCCUUCCUUCACAGACACACAUUAUUUUACUUCACUAUUAGUGAAGUAAAAGUAUUUGCUUUUACUUCACUAGCAAACCCAUUGAGAGGGCAUGUAAAUCCUGUGGGAUGACUCACUAGGAACAAAAUUGUAAGAAGUCAGUCAACAGCAUUACAGAAAAUAUCUUUCCACUUGUUACAGCCAAGGGACACUAAGUACAUUGGUUUUUUUUUUUCCCUUGUUCAAAAACAAAUGUUACAUUCAAAAAGCUGCAUUAAUUCAAGAUACAUGACUGAUUUUAUAUGCAAGAACAGUUUUCCAAGUAAUAUCUUUGAACACAGCACAAGUUUUGGCAUCAAACCUAAGUAACAUACUAGAACAAAUUACUGAGGAAAGUUGUGAUCCUCUGUUAUUACUAUUCUGCAUGCUUAUUUUUCUGAUUAAGCUAGGAACAAGUUCACAAAACUUCUUGGGACAGAAGUUUUUCUUUUUUACCUUUACUUCCGCAAAGGUAAAAAAGUAAGCCAUUGCUCCCUGUCUGUACUCUUUGUAGGAGACAAAAAACCUAAACAAAGAAGGAAGCAAACUACCUCUGGACACAAAAAUGAAGGCAAUGAUUUGCAGCCAUAUGCUCCUUUUAGGAAAUUUGGCCCUCAAACUGGAAAAUGUCCUUAUGUCUCUGUUGUGCUUGCCCUAUUUUGUCUGAAUAAAAGAAAAGAUUCCUUGAAUAACAUCAGUCAUGGCACACUGUUAAGUGGGCUCUAUUGCAAGCAGUCUUUACCUGCAGUAUCUGCUGACAAAGACCAGCUAUUGGAAUAGUACUCUGCAGUGAACACUCUCCUGUGGAAGCUGCUGUACUGAAAAAAACACAUUUAGCAAAUCUGGAAGAAGUUUUAUUUUGGAAACAUUUUCAGAAAGAAGGAAAGAGUUCAGGAAACGUUGCUGACUUCCUGAGAACGUGGAGUACCUUCACCAUGAAUCACUCGAGACCAUCGUGGGUUUCAUAAAAGCAAAAUUAUACAACAAAACAUUUUAGGAACAGCUUACCAAUUAAGCAAUUGGAUAUGGUUUGCUAAACAAAACCCCACAUCUGUGAUUUGGGAGAAAAACUGAUCCUCAGCCAGAUGAACAACAAGGAGAUGAGUGAACUGCUUUAACUGAUGUAGGUCUCAUGUUACAGAAGGUGUUCAGAACACAAUUUUCAACCAUCUUUAAUAUUUACUAUUCCAUUUCAAAAGAUUAAUAUUUCCAAACAACAGAUUAUUUUAAAAUAUAGACGAGGGAACAGGAAAUUAGGAGAUAUGCUUAUGUAUGUGUCUUUCUACCCUUGGUUACCUGUGGUGCAAGAUGCUAAUGGAAUUCUGACAUUAAUAAAUAAAGAUAGAUAAAGAUCUGAUUUGUUGGCUUGAUAAAUAGAUGAUAUUAAAAAUCUAAACUUUCAAUGUAAGUUUUUGAAGAAGUUCAUUCAGCAGCUUGACAGUCCUCUGGUUUCCUUCUCCAUGAUGUUUAAAUCUGUAUGCAGUACGGGUAAGAAGGCUAUAAACUUCCUUGCUUGUAUCAGUUGUCUCAGUAAUCUGAAGGAAAACAGAGAAGAUGGGAAAUAAUGCAAUUAUGUUGCUAAAUACUAAAAAUUCUCCAUUAAUAUUUACAACAAAACCACAGAUUUGUCCCUCACCACUGAACAUGUGAGAAGCAACUUCUGCCCAAGGUAUCUCUUUUCAUUCACUUUAGUGGAACUGAGCAACUUUGAGAUUUUCUACUGUUCUCUCAAGUUUAAGUGAAACAAAUCAAGAGGUCAGAAACUAUUUAAAGGAAACACAAAUGGACAGACAGUGUAACCAUUUCUAAGUCAUCUCCAGAAAAAAACAACUAAAAACACAUGAAGGUUCUGCGUGUGUCCGGGGAGAAAAUUCAAUUCUGUAAAGCUUUCAAAAGUAAAAAUAAAUCCCUCCCCCAGAAGAUGACAGAAUACCAGGGAAAGAUCCUAAGCUGCAAUUUUUGCAGAUCAGGAGGGACUUUACUCCUUGUUAUUUGCUGUGUUAAACCGGAAGUUUACUAUGCUAACCAAAACCACAGCCAUGCAUCCCAAAUUAGUUCAACACCAUUCUGCCUUUCAUAUAUUGCCUUCAGUCCUUUUCAAAUCACAUGGAGAGCCUUGCUACACAUUAAUGAUUAUACAAAUACAGUCAAAAUUAAUUAGACUGACAAACUCUGGCCUACAAGAGCUCACAACCACGCUGCACUCAGUUUAGAAAGUUAUGUUGCUUCCUAUGAAGAAGCAAGAGAUUGCCUUUGGUCUUUCUGAAGAGGUUUAAAGUAACAGGCCGGUACAUUACAACAUCACAGCUCAACAGCUGCAUUACUCAAGAGAAACUAGAAACAGCAGACUGUAAAUAUACAUAUCCCUCCCCCCAGUUUUAUCACUAUAUUCUUAUGCUAAGAAAAAAGUUGUUCAUUUUUAAACUUGCACCUAAAAUGUGAGAAUUAUCUUAGCCCUUCCUAAACAGAGAAAUGUUUUGUCUGUUUACUCAGACAGCUGUAUCAUAAAAUCAGAUGCCUUACACAUGCCAUAUACCCUAUAAAGAUAGAAGAGCACUCUGCUGCUGAAAGGAAAACCCUUUGGAAGUGUUAAAACUACACACUGGCCCUAGACGUGCUUGCAUAGGAGUCGUGAACUUCUUCAAAUAAUAUGGUUUUAUAGUUAGGAAAGAAUUCUUAAUCUCACACUGAGAUAGCACUAUCUUAAGAGACACAAACACAUUUUGAAGUUUGCACCAAUAUUCCUGAAGGCUGUUAUCAGCAACAAGAAGAUACUGUGGUAACCUUCCAACCUUUUACUCCUCUUCAGCUUUUAUCACACCCUAAGAGACACUGUCUGAGCUCUUCAUUCUUUCCUUCUCUCUCAGUUACCACACUGUUCUCCUCAUUGGCUUUGCUAAAUCACCAGGCUUCUCUCACAUCAAUGCUAACACCUAGUAACCACCUGCUCUACCUAAUGGAAAACAGGUAAAAAUGAGAAGAGA